UAAUUAAAAAAAUUAAAAACAAAAUAAAUAAAAUAAUGUGCAUUCGCGUAAAGUUAGCCCAAAUACAUUUUUUCCAUCCUCCUAUAUACCUAUCGCUAUGAAGGUAUAAAAAAGAUAGGUUAAGAGUUCACAUAGGUAAUAUAAACAAAUAAGUAAAUAUGUUCAUUAUUUAUCUUUCAAGAGAUAAUGUAGGUAUACAUUAUAAUAACAUUUUGACACAGUCGAAAUUAUAUUCCUAACAUUAGUAAAAUAACAUUUUAAUAUUUUUUUUAUAGGUUAUGUAUUGAAAUUGUUGGAAAAUUAUUUCAUGUUUUAGCUGGAAAACUACAUGGAGAAUUAUAUGCAAUACAAGAUAAUGAGCUCCAUUAAAUGAAUUCGAAUGAAACCAAACUGUUUACCAUCCAAAUUCGAUUGUCGGGCAGAUAGAAAACGAAAAUUCACUCAUAGUGAACCUCGGCCUGCAUUUGUGAAACGGCAAAGACUCACUAUUAUCAAGGAAAUUGAAGAGACGACUAAAAAUGAGAUGUGUCGUAUUAUUAUACCUUUGCCAUCUUGUAUUCAAGAUGUCCAGCCACUUGAAAAUAGGUGUAGUAAUGACAAAGCUAUCCAAGUAGCUCCAGCACAGGAACACAAAGGCAAGGCAAGUGUGUAUUGCCACAUCACCCCUUAAUAUAUCUGAAGCAAGUAUAAGUAAACAAUCAGAACCAGUAAAAAAAAACUGUUGUUCCUGAGGACAAAUUUGACAGUGAUGAGUCAAAUGCACCAGCAACAGAAGGAUCAACUGUUGACUAUGAGUUAUCUCUCUAUAUCUCCACUCCAUCAAAGACUUGUGCACUUCAGACUAUAGUUCUCAAGAAGACUAAAAACUUGAAAAAAUGAAUGUGUUAACAACUUUAUCUAAAGUGAAAAAUAAACAACGUUUAUAUAUUGGUCUUCCACAAGAAUUAUGUUUCAUAAUAGGCUUGAUUGAGAAACAUACAAAUGUUUCUGAACAAAAUAUUAUAUUAUGUCUGAUGAGAAUAACAUUAAAUAGAACAUUCUCUCAAUUGGCUGAUGAUUUCGAUUUAUCUGUAAGUCAAGCAAGCAAUAUAUUUUUCAACAAACUCCCAGAAAUUGCAAAUGUAAUAUCACCCCUUGUUAGACUAUAAAAAAAACAAUACAAUAAAUAUAUAUGCAGGAAGGAUAAUUGAUGUCAACUUGGUGGAAAAUAGAAAGUUUUUAGAUAGUUUGCCACCUACAAAACUCUUUAAUUAAAUAAGUAAUCCUUACUUAUAAAUAGGAAGUUUUGUAAGUAUUUUCACUCUUCAUUCAAAAACUACUGAACAGAUUUUAAUAAGACUUUUAUGCUGGUCUUCUAUGGCUAGCAACUCAUUAUUAUUUUGAUUCUGUUUUCCACAAAUGUGCUAAAUAUGGGCUUAUAUAUAUGAAAAGGAAUAAAUAUUAAUGUUAUGUAACCUUUGUACCUGUAUGUUAAGAAUAAUUUUUAAUAAAACAUAAUUUAAAUUGAAA